rnacentral:rRNA from 1 species
UACGAAGGGGGCUAGCGUUGUUCGGAAUUACUGGGCGUAAAGCGUGCGCAGGCGGCUUCUCAAGUCAGGGGUGAAAGCCCAGAGCUCAACUCUGGAAUUGCCUUUGAGACUGAGUGGCUUGAGUACGAGAGAGGUGAGUGGAAUUCCCAGUGUAGAGGUGAAAUUCGUAGAUAUUCGCAAGAACACCAGUGGCGAAGGCGGCUUACUGGUCCGGAACUGACGCUGAGGUGCGAAAGCGUGGGGAGCAAACAGG